AUGCCUCAGUAACGGCGAGUGAAGCGGCAAAAGCUCAAAUUUGAAAUCUGGCUCUUUUAGGGUCCGAGUUGUAAUUUGUAGAAGAUGUUUCGGGUGUGGCUCCGGUUUAAGUUCUUUGGAAUAUUACAUCAUAGAGGGUGAGAAUCCCGUAUGUGACCGGCAGCCUUCGCCUAUGUGAAACUCUUUCGACGAGUCGAGUUGUUUGGGAAUGCAGCUCAAAAUGGGAGGUAUAUUUCUUCUAAAGCUAAAUAUUGGCCAGAGACCGAUAGCGCACAAGUAGAGUGAUCGAAAGAUGAAAAGCACUUUGGAAAGAGAGUUAAACAGUACGUGAAAUUGUUGAAAGGGAAGCGCUUGCAACCAGACUUGCACGCAGUUGAUCAUCCGGUGUUCUCACCGGGGCACUCUGCUGCGUUCAGGCCAGCAUCGGUUUUGGUGGUUGGAUAAAGGCCUUGGGAAUGUGGCUUCCUUCGGGGAGUGUUAUAGCCCUCGGUGCAAUGCAGCCUACCGGGACCGAGGACCGCGCUUCGGCUAGGAUGCUGGCGUAAUGGUUGUAAGCGACCCGUCUUGAAACACGGACCAAGGAGUCUAACAUCUAUGCGAGUGUUUGGGUGUUAAACCCAUACGCGUAAUGAAAGUGAACGGAGGUGAGAACCCUUAAGGGUGCAUCAUCGACCGGUCCUGAUGUCUUCGGAUGGAUCUGAGUAAGAGCAUAGCUGUUGGGACCCGAAAGAUGGUGAACUAUGCGUGAAUAGGGUGAAGCCAGAGGAAACUCUGGUGGAGGCUCGCAGCGGUUCUGACGUGCAAAUCGAUCGUCAAAUUUGCGCAUAGGGGCGAAA
rnacentral:rRNA from 1 species